CCUACGGGGGGCAGCAGUGAGGAAUAUUGGUCAAUGGACGAGAGUCUGAACCAGCCAAGUAGCGUGAAGGAUGACUGCCCUAUGGGUUGUAAACUUCUUUUAUAUGGGAAUAAAAUGUUCCACGUGUGGGAUUUUGUAUGUACCAUAUGAAUAAGGAUCGGCUAACUCCGUGCCAGCAGCCGCGGUAAUACGGAGGAUCCGAGCGUUAUCCGGAUUUAUUGGGUUUAAAGGGAGCGUAGGUGGAUUGUUAAGUCAGUUGUGAAAGUUUGCGGCUCAACCGUAAAAUUGCAGUUGAAACUGGCAGUCUUGAGUACAGUAGAGGUGGGCGGAAUUCGCGGUGUAGCGGUGAAAUGCUUAGAUAUCACGAAGAACUCCGAUUGCGAAGGCAGUUCACUGGACUGCAACUGACACUGAGGCUCGAAAGUGUGGGUAUCAAACAGGAUUAGAUACCCUAGUAGUC
rnacentral:rRNA from 1 species